AUGCUUCACCAACUUGGAGCUCCACGGAUCACGCUCAAGCUCGACCUCACGCAUGCCUUCGACUCCCUAUCUUGGCCGUUCCUCUUCGAGGUACUGCGCCAAUACAGAUUCGGAGACCGAUUCCGGGAAUGGCUCGCGAUCCUGCAAUCGACGUCUAGCACCCAUGUUCUGAUCAAUGGCGAGCCGGGCCCACCAAUUUGGCAUCGCAACGGGCUGCGCCAAGGGGACCCGGUGUCCCCACAGCUCUUCGUGCUUGCUGUGGACACACUUGGCAGACUGAUGCGCCGCGCCAUUGACUCCGGCAUUCUACAGCGGCUCCACCCACAUCGGCAUAUCCCGACGAUCUCCCUGUACACCGACGAUGUCAUGUUAUUCUGCCAUGCAACGACGGGCGAUGUGGCUGCCAUCAAGGGUAUCCUGACCCUGUUUGGCGAGGCGAGCGGAUUAGAGGUGAACUACGCCAAGAGUUUCGCCACUGUUCUCCAUGGUGAACCCGAGGCGGAUGCAGUACUCGCCCAGCUCUGA
rnacentral:rRNA from 1 species